UACGUAGGGGGCAAGCGUUGUCCGGAAUCAUUGGGCGUAAAGAGCUCGUAGGCGGUUUGUCGCGUCUGCUGUGAAAACUCGGGGUUUAACCCCGGGCCUGCAGUGGGUACGGGCAGACUAGAGUGCGGUAGGGGAGACUGGAAUUCCUGGUGUAGCAGUGAAAUGCGUAGAGAUGUGGAGGAACACCGAUGGCGAAGGCAGCCCCCUGGGCUGAGAUUGACGCUCAGGCACGAAAGCGUGGGGAGCAAACAGG
rnacentral:rRNA from 1 species